AACUUUAAAAACGUUUUUACGGUGCUCGGAUUAAAUGAGCUGCCCACGGAUGAUUGCUUUCCAAAGGUUUCCGGUGCCAUUUCGUUUCUGAAGAAGCUUGGGCAUCGUAUCAUUGGCUUGCACAAGGAGCACGAACUUUACGAAUAUCCACUUUUUGACAACGAACGCGGAGGAUACGUUUCUGAUAUUUUUAACAUUAUGGUGCAGGAAAUUGAUGAUUUCACGAAGAUGUUGUUAGACAAAUGGAUUGUUGAGUGCUGGCAGGGAAUCCAGCAAGAUAUCAUUUUAACUCUUCUUGUAAAAGAUGAAGCAAAUAAGCUAAGGGUUAACUUUACUGAGCGACUUAUAUUUGCUCUAAAAGAUAUUAAAGUCGUCCGACUUCUUAGUUGUGAUGUUUCAGUUAACUUGACCAAAUUCUUCUGUCGGGAAGACGAGC